UUUCCAUUCUGUUUUUAUGUGUCAUUGGUUGGUAAAGGAUAUGGCAAAACAUGUGUGUUGGUGUGCAUUUCAUAGGUUACACCGUAAAAUGUGUUAAUUAUAUGUUUAUUAUUCAAAUUUAAAAUGGAAACCAUUAUGAUACUUUUCAAAUGACAGCAGCAUCUUAGAUUCUUAUUGGACAAACUGAACACUCUAAAAGAAUGGUUUCUGUACUGCCCUCUGGCGUUUAGUUAUAGUUUCUAGUCGGACUCAUUUCAGUGACGGACCUGUUAGAGCAAUAGCGCAGAAAUCAGUCACGAGUUUGCUUCAUUACACAGCUUGGUCAAAUAUGUGUCUUCUUACAGACUUAAAUGGAGAAAAGAUUAAGAAAUAAAACUGAGGAA